AGAGCGAACGCUGGCGGCAGGCUUAACACAUGCAAGUCGAACGGAUCCUUCGGGAUUAGUGGCGGACGGGUGAGUAACACGUGGGAACGUGCCUUUUGGUUCGGAACAACUCAGGGAAACUUGAGCUAAUACCGGAUGUGCCCUUCGGGGGAAAGAUUUAUCGCCAUUAGAGCGGCCCGCGUCUGAUUAGCUAGUUGGUGAGGUAAAGGCCCACCAAGGCUACGAUCAGUAGCUGGUCUGAGAGGAUGACCAGCCACAUUGGGACUGAGACACGGCCCAAACUCCUACGGGAGGCAGCAGUGGGGAAUCUUGCGCAAUGGGCGAAAGCCUGACGCAGCCAUGCCGCGUGAAUGAUGAAGGUCUUAGGAUUGUAAAAUUCUUUCACCGGGGACGAUAAUGACGGUACCCGGAGAAGAAGCCCGGCUAACUUCGUGCCAGCAGCCGC
rnacentral:rRNA from 1 species